UUCUUUAAAGGGAAGGCAGGAGGCGGACAGCUUGGCUGUGACCCUUUAGCGCUGGGUCGCGUGUGGCCCACCGUCGGCCUGAGGCAUUGUUGGGUGGUUGGAGGUGGUUGUAGUAUUUGGAAAAGAACUUGUCCCUGAAGGGCUCAGGGGACUUGUUUUCUCAGCUCCUAAUAUGGAAAAUUAAGGCAUUUCUUACGAGAUGAAGAUUUUAAAGCAGGCAUAUCUACUCGACGGGUUUGGAUUACUGCACUGCACAAAUUCCAGUCUCUGUCGGUUUUGGGUGAGAAGAGCUGUGCUUCUCACCAGCUACUGGUGAGACAUUCGCCCUACAGGAAGGGGUCGGUAUGAUUGUGGACAUUGACCUGCGCAGCAAAAGAAAGUGGCUAAUUUGCGCCAAUAAUAAUAAAUUAGCUUGUAUUUGAAUUAGCCAAGUCUUUGCGGUUUUGCUAACUUGGCUUCACUUUGCAUGGAGUGGGAAGCGCCUGCUUCUGAAAAGGUGACUUUUCUCCUAAUUAGAAUGGACUCCUCUUAAGGCCAUGCAGUUUUCGAAGAAGAAAGACAAGCUGGACGUUUUGUUAGUAACAAAAUGUACUCUUGGACAACAGGAAAAUUAGAAAAGAUAAUGGAGAGCUUUUUCAGAAUGUUGAAUUUAGUUGUGUGUGCUUUUGAUCUCCAUGUCAAUCCAUAAACAAUAAAUCCUGUUCUUAAAUUU
rnacentral:lncRNA from 1 species